AAGUCGUAACAAGGUUUCCGUAGGUGAACCUGCGGAAGGAUCAUUAAUAGUUUAUAUGUUUGGUGAUUUCCACAGCUGCUCCGGCGGUGUCAUCAAAUAUUCAUGUGGAUGUUCCGUGUUACCGUAUUCUACGCUUGGUGAGUUGUGGAUGCUUUGUUUGACAAUGAGGAAGCAGCUUGCCAAAGUUUACUAUUUCCAAACCAAAUGAACUUAAGCGCGUCAAGCGUCUAUUAAUAAGUACAACUGUUAGCAAUGGAUCACUCGGUUCUC
rnacentral:misc_RNA from 1 species